AGAGCGAACGCUGGCGGCAGGCCUAAUACAUGCAAGUCGAACGUAUCCUUCGGGAUUAGUGGCGGACGGGUGAGUAACACGUGGGAACGUACCCUUUGGUUCGGAACAACUCAGGGAAACUUGAGCUAAUACCGAAUGUGCCCUUCGGGGAAAAGAUUUAUCGCCAUUGGAGCGGCCCGCGUCUGAUUAGCUAGUUGGUAGGGUAAUGGCCCACCAAGGCGACGACGGGUAGCCGGCCUGAGAGGGCGACCGGCCACACUGGGACUGAGACACGGCCCAGACUCCUACGGGAGGCAGCAGUGGGGAAUAUUGCACAAUGGGCGAAAGCCUGAUGCAGCGACGCCGCGUGAGGGAUGACGGCCUUCUGGUUGUAAACCUCUUUCAGCAGGGACGAAGCGAAAGUGACGGUACCUGCAGAAGAAGCACCGGCCAACUACGUGCCAGCAGCCGC
rnacentral:rRNA from 1 species